rnacentral:rRNA from 1 species
UGGGGAAUUUUGGACAAUGGGCGAAAGCCUGAUCCAGCAAUGCCGCGUGUGUGAAGAAGGCCUUCGGGUUGUAAAGCACUUUUGUCCGGAAAGAAAUCCUUGGCUCUAAUACAGUCGGGGGAUGACGGUACCGGAAGAAUAAGCACCGGCUAACUACGUGCCAGCAGCCGCGGUAAUACGUAGGGUGCAAGCGUUAAUCGGAAUUACUGGGCGUAAAGCGUGCGCAGGCGGUUUGCUAAGACCGAUGUGAAAUCCCCGGGCUCAACCUGGGAACUGCAUUGGUGACUGGCAGGCUAGAGUAUGGCAGAGGGGGGUAGAAUUCCACGUGUAGCAGUGAAAUGCGUAGAGAUGUGGAGGAAUACCGAUGGCGAAGGCAGCCCCCUGGGCCAAUACUGACGCUCAUGCACGAAAGCGUGGGGAGCAAACAGGAUUAGAUACCCUGGUAGUCCACGCCCUAAACGAUGUCAACUAGUUGUUGGGGAUUCAUUUCCUUAGUAACGUAGCUAACGCGUGAAGUUGACCGCCUGGGGAGUACGGUCGCAAGAUUAAAACUCAAAUAAAUUGACGGGGUCAUAGCUGUUUCCU